AUCGACUAUUCUCGUUUACUCUCCAAUCUAUACUAUAAUUUUAACUACUCUGCAAGUUUUUCAGGACUCUGUUGUUGAAAAUUUUUGCAGGCGUUUGGUUCAUGCAUUGUCAUCUGGAAAUUCACACAACCUGGGGACUCAAGAUGGCCUUCUUGGUGGACAAUGGGAAAGGCCCAAACGAGUCGCUGCUACCGCCUCCAAGCGAUCUUCCGAAGUGUUGAUCCAUGAGGAGAAAUUCUAUAGUCAAGUAUGCAGUAGCUCGAGAUGAAGAGUGAUGAGAAAAGAAAAUAGAGCCUUACCACAAAGGAAAAGGCUUAUACAGGUGGUUUUAGCCUAGUAAAAUGAAGAUCCGAAUUGUUUUAAAAGAAUUCUUUGUUUUGAUUGCAAUAUUCGUAUUCCGUAGGAAAUUUCUUUAAAGAACAAGAUUCUGCCAUUUGCUAAGUUGCAAAUUUCUGAUAAGUUUCUCGCAUUAGUGUGGACACGGAGACUGACCAUCUUGGAAAAAGACUUGAUGGUAGUAAUUGAGGAUGAUGUAUCAGAAAUUUUAUAGCGGUCCACUUUGAAAAAAUAGAAGGCCAUUGUAAAGCAGAUAACUUUAAUAUGAAACAAGACUUGAUAGUCGGAAUACGAUCACGCGAUCAAAUUAUAUUGGGCAUUCCAUAACUCCGUCGGGGAAAAAUGUGGCUCAACAAUUUGGUGGAGUCCUUACGUUCUAACACUGACUUAUGGGGGAUACCUUUAUAAAGCUAAGGUCUCCUCUCCACUCCCUAUACACUUGUCCUAUAUUGGAAAGGAAGAUCUCAUAAAAAGGAAUAGACCAAAACAAAUUAAUAGAAUCCAUUGUAUUGAAUUAUUCAUGUGGCUGAGAGACCUCGCAGCUCAGGCAUGGCAACGCAAUUAUUUGGAGCGUUCUCUGCCAUUGAGCUAUAAUAGCCCAUCGUCCAAGCUCCCACUGGGUCCGCUACGUCAGAAGGGAGCAAAACCACAUCCCUCUCUUUUCCUUUUUUGCUCCCAUAUCGCAAUUCAGGAGGGGCAUGGGGAUAUCUAAACGGGAUUUUAUCAACUUAUUCUAUAAAUUAAACAAUAUUUUCGUCUCCAAGUUGAACCCAAUGUAACUCGCCUCUUUUCGGGUGUAAAGCAAUAUCAAACCUAAAUGUCCAACAAACAUUAACUCUUCCAGAAAAUGAGGUGAUCCAACCACACCUUCCAAUACAACUAUCUUGCUACGAUUUCAUCAAGUCACUAACCAUGUCAUUGGCAUCCCCCUCCUUGCAAUUAAUGUAGCAACUUCGGGCACAGCCAACUUUCAUAAUGUGACGGGUGGUGUGUGAUUUAACUUCAUCAAGUGUUUGUUUAUCAAAAUGUUAUUUAAGUGUUCUAAAUCUCUGUACGAUCUUGGAUCAAAUGUUUUUAAUUAUGUUGGAUCGAUGAUUUUCUUACAUCAUGCUCUUAAGUUUUUCCUCAUAAAGCCUACUGAGGUGCAUUUACGUACCUUCAAUUAAGCAAUAGCACAAAGUUUCGUUCCUUUUAUUACAAACAAAAAUAAAUAAAUAAUUAAAUAUCGAGACCGCCCAUUCGGAUUUUGACUCGUCCCACACUAUUAUGUCAUUUGCACAAAGUUUCAUUUCUUUUAUUACAAUCUAUAGAGAAAAAAAAAUCAAUAUCAAGACCGUCCAUUCGGAUUUUGGCUCGUCCCAUACUAUUACGUCAUUUGUACCAUUAGAGGUAAGAGUAGCAUAUCAAUAACUAGAAAACCACCUAGUUCCUGAUGAGCACAUGAAGUGUCGAGAUUGAACCUAAGACUAUAGCGACACCAUGCCCCUCAAAGAAUGAACUUAUAACUUUAUUAAGACGCACAUAAUAACUAUUCUACUUCUAGAGCAACAGCAUCAUAACAGCAUCAUGGUGACGAAGCCAUCGUUCAAAGCCAAGAUUUGCCACUUUGAGACCGCCCAGUUAUGCGGCGGGGUAGACGAGAAUAACGUGCUUUAGGAGCGCGCGGGUCUGGCAGGGGGCAGCGGCAUUAUCAAGGAGGGGGGCCAAGAUUUUAUGUUGUAAUCAAAUGAAUUUAUGUUCCAAAAACAAAAAUUUUGUAUCAUUAUUAAACACAAUCAAAUGCUGAGAAAUUGAUUAGGAAAUAGAAAUAGAAAAAUAUAUUCCUAACCAAAAGUUGUUCCCUAAAAUAUAAUGAUUAUCAUUCGCGCCUUUAGUAUCUAGAUAAAUCUGUGUAAUUUUAAUCUUUUGAUGCAUCACUUUGACUCUUUUUUUUUCAUCAUAAACACUUGAAAAGUGCACAAAUAUUACAACGUAAGUUCACAUACAGAUCUUUUAAAAAAUCAUAAUUUGGAUAAUAUUUCAAAAAUUUUGCGGCAAAACAAAAAAAGCACUAUUUACUUAAGUGAACAAUUGGGUGUGGAAUUGUUAUUCUAGGUCUUUCCUAUUUGAUAUAUUACAUAAUUCCUAUUGGUUUCUGGUUACUCGCAUUUUUUGUCUUUUAUCAGGCAAGCCGUCAACAAUGCAGAUACACUGUUUAGCCUGGGAUUUCUGGUAGUUUAUUGAUAUGAUUAAGAGUUAGAUUUCUGAGCUCGUGCCCUGAUCAUAAAAGAAAAUAAUAAUAAUAAUAAUAAUAAUAAUAAUAAUAAUAAUAAUAAUAAUAAUAAUAAUAAUAAUAAUAAUAAUAAUAAUAAUAAUAAUAAUAAUAAUAAUAAUAAUAAUACGAUAAAAGUCUUUCAAUAUUUCUUUCCUUUUAUCUCGCUUCUACUAUCCUGCAUCAGUUCCUCAUGCGGGAUGCAAUUUCUCAAGGACAGAGAUGCACUUACUGAAAUGACUAUGUUUCCGGGGAGUCAACAUGUACUUACCGAAAUGAGUAUGUGUCCGACUAUUCCCCACAUUUUAUGAAGGCCCACGGACCCAAAGAGAGAUUGCAGCUCAUUAGCCCACUAUUGAGGAUUUCCAAACCAGUCUCAAAUCUUUUGACUAGGUUUGAUAGACAAGACAAAAGUCCAAAUUGAAUAAAAUUUAUCAUAUCUCAUAUUGGGUUCCUGUCUAAGAAAGAAUAAAAUUAGAUUGGAUAUAAUAUGAAAUAGUUCGAAUAAAAUCAUCUCAUGGGGUAGAAUAAAGAUGAAUCAGAUUUAUUAUAUAUCCAUGACGUAAAAUUUAUUUCUCGUGAAUAACAAAUUUCUUUAGUUAGAAAAAUUAAAAUAAUUAUUAAAUAUAAAGUAAUACUUGGAUUCUGUUAAAUAAAAAAAAGAGAAAUUCGAAAGAACUAAUGGACAAUUAUCAUUUUUUAUCUAUUUCUUUUUUUAAUAUAUUUGAAUUUCUUUCCGCUUUAUCAUAUGUAUUUGUAUAUAUAUUUAUAGUUAUAUAGUAUAUAUACUUGUACAAUAGUAUAUAUAUUUAUACAAAUUAUAUAUUAUUAUAAUUUAUUAUUUAAUAAAAACUUUUUGAAGGAAUGAUGGAAGGGACUAAGAAAGAAAUAGAAAAGAGAGGAAAAAUAAUUUAAAAAAUAAGUAAAUAAAAAUGAAGUAGAAUAACCCCAAUUUUAAAUGAAUAAUUCAAACUUAAUGUCUUCUUGAGAAAUGUUUUAGAUAUCCUAAGCUACAACAGAUAUUUUUCUCAAUAUUUUUAGAGACUUAAAAGAAUGAGAUAUCAGCUCCGUCAUUUACAAAUAGAGCUUCAAUUUCUUUAGAACUGGUGACUUUUUAGAAUUCUAGGGGUUUUUAUUAACUCUUAGAUUUCGAAUUUCAAAAUGGUUUUUUCAUAAAAGUUAAUUUUCACAUCUUGUAAGUUAACAUACUCAAAUUUCAAAUCAAACGGACAUGUUUUGGACAUCGAACCAAACUAAUUUCGAAAAACAGACUUUCUGGAAACUGACUCAAUUUUUUGUGCUGAAUUGAGCAAUUUAUUGGGCCGAAUCUAGAAGGAUCUGGGUUAAGGUGUCUUCAUAAAAAAAAAAAUGUUUGUUUAUGUGUACUCUAUAACAUAUUCAAAUUUGAGAAUUUUCUAAGUUCAUUCAGGUAGGUUUCUGGAAUUAGACUUAGAGACGUGUGAGUGGUCCGAUUUCUACCAAUUAGGACCGGUUAUGGUUUUGCGGUUGAUCUUGACAUUGUGCUUGCUAAAUAAGGUGUAUUUAAUGAUGUGGUGGACUAGUGGCAUGCUGAGAAUUUAUGUGUGAGGUUGUGAGAUGGAUUGCUCUAUGCCGGUUGGUUUGUGAUGUGCCUAGAGUUUAUGCUUGAUGAUCGUGUGAUGUUGUGGGUUAGAUCAAGAAAACCACCGAACUUGGAAUCAGUUGUGCUCGCUGAGCCGUAAUUCAGCAUUACCAUGUAAUCUAGGUUGUGCUCGCUGAGCUAUAGUUCAGCAUUACCACUGAACUUGAAAUCGGUUGUGCCUGCUGAGCCUUAAUUCAAUAUUACCACCAAAGAUUUAGUAGGUUGUGCCUGUUGAGCUGUAAUUCAGCAUUACCACCAAAGAUUUAGUAGCCCGUGCUCGUUGAGCCAUAAUUCAGCAUUGUGAUUGAGUGAUUGAGAUGACCAAGGAAUGGUUUGGUUGACAUAUAAUCGAUUGAGUUGAUUGAUCGAUGAUUCAAUCUAAAUUCUUGAUGGACGUGAUUGGAGUCGGUAGCCAUUACUAAUUGGCUUGACUUAUAAAUAGUCUGGAUGACAUGAAAUCGACUAGUUCGAUUAACCAGUGAUUUGAUCAACUUGAUGAUUUAAUUGCAAUUAUUGCUUUGAUGUGUAUCGGUAGUUUUUACUCAUGUGAGCAGUGAUUAAAUUGUAAUUCUUACUCGUGUGAGUAAUGAUUGGUUUGGACAUUCCAAAUUGGUGUGUGAAUUUGUUAUAUACACACGGUUGUGAUAAGAACGGUGCUGACCUACAAGAAGAAACUAAGACCAAAGUAAGCCUUUGUGAUUGUGUGAUUGUGUGAUUAAGACGUCUUAGGCGUAUUACCCUCCUAAUCGAGGUUUAGAGUGUGAACUCGCUGAGAUUCAUAUCUCACCCCAUCGUGGGCUUCAUUUUUCGGGACCGUAGGGUGGAAGGCCUAGAGCUGAGCUGAGGUGAUCUAAAGUAUAGGUCAGAUAAAAUAGUUCCUUUUGAGAGUCAGUCUUUUGAAGUCUUGUAACUGUAGACUUUUGUAUUUGACUCGGUGUGUAUUUAAAAGCAUGUUUUGUUUGAAAAUCUGAUGUCCUACUUUUCUAUCCCAAUAUGGUUACUAUCAGGAGAUUUGUUAUUCGCUUUUGCAUGUGCAAUGAAAUGAAAGGGUCGGCGACUCAUCCUGGGAAGUCGCAAAAUUUUAUCAACUACUAAGGGAUGGGCACGCACUUGAGAAUCAGGGCGUGACAAGUAUCACCUAGAAGAGGUGAAUAGGUGAUCUCAAGGAACUUGACAAAUAAAGUGGAAUUAAAUUUGUCACAUCCCAAAUCUUUCCUCGCCACAGAAACUCAACAUCUGCUAGGGGAUUAAUUUGCAACGUCUUAGGAAGCUUCGCUAUCCCAUUGGUUUUAAUCUUCAAUUAAGCACAUGCGAAAGCGUGCAACUCAACACCCAAAAAACAACUACACUGGAUCAUAAGGAAACACACAUACACUAUACAACUUAUAUAUGCUUCACAAGCUAACCGCUUUGGGGCCAUUCUAAUUUUCAUCCCACAAAAAGAUAUAAGGAGAUGGGUUCACAAGCUUUAAGUGGAGUCUAUCUUCUCUAGCGAAAUACUAACCAAAAAGAAACUCCCCUACAAGGACCAACUAUCUAGGCAUCACCUACUGGGCUAUUGGGCGGACCAUCAUCCUCAUUUGGUCUAGGCGGUCCAUAGAACCUAUGGAGGGGCCCGAAGAGAUCCCCAUCAAACCAUGCGUACCAAACUCAGUAGCUAUGAAGCAUGAGAUCGUUGUAGCCCUCAUCCACCAAAAUAGUAGUAGUGAUCCUUCGGAAUGCAAUAUCCUCCCUAAACACAUCCAACACUGUAACCUCCAUAGUCAUGGGGACCCCAAAAUCACAUGAAACGAGCAAGCAGAGGAUUCAUACCUAUUGGCCUGAAAAAGUUUAAACAACAAUGAAUGAGUUGAACUCUCAAUAAGUAAAUAACCUAAAUCUCGUAUAGGCAAAUGCCUUGCAUCGGAACCUUACAAAUGCUUGACCCCAACAUGUCGAUGGUAGAUCAAUAAUAAAGCAUUUGCUUUGCUUUAAUUAUAUAUAUAUAUAUAUAAGAAAGGGAAUCCUUAGCCAUCUAGAUUACUCUCUCUAUCUAGAACCUAUGGAACAUGACAUACUCAUAACAAUUCUAUAUGUGUCAAUUAAAGAUAUUAAAAAUUCAGAUGUGCUUCACAAGUCACGUUUAAUAGCAUCAAAAAUUCACAUGUGUCAUACAACAACCUCAAAGUUCUUAACAUGGCUCCUUAAAUAAUGUCAUCUAAAAUGUUCACAUGCCUCUCAUGUCAAAAUUUAUGAUAAUUAACUCAUACACAAGCCUUCUCAUAUUAUAAAAAUGACCAAUAAAUUAUGCACAUGUUUCAUGCAUCAUAAACAAUGGCAUGCGACAUGUCACGCUUCAAUCUUCGAGCGCGUGCCCAUCCCUCGGUGGUCGAUAAAUUUGCGAUGUCCUAAGACACAUCACGGACCCAUUCAUUUUAUUACGCACGCGGAAGCGAACAAAACCCCUAACAACCAUUAACUUGGGUUAGAAAAGUAUGCAACAAUUCACAACCAAAACAAGCAUUUUAUAAACACACAAGUUUAUAUACAAUACCAGGUUGUUUAUAAAAUAUCGGCUCAACAAAAAGGGGACUAUCCUAUGGCCCACUAGUCCGACACGUUCGCCGAUUUUUCGAUCUCCUCCUCCACAAACUCCGAAGCUUUGAGUCCUCCACCACUGACAUCUAAGGACCUUAAAAUGUUGAGCCCACGAUGGGGUGAGACAAUGUCUUAGCAAGUUUACCCCUUAAACUCCGACUAGGAAGGAAAUACGCCUAGAGGCAAUUUAUGCACAAUCUAUGCCUUAGUCCCUUCAUGCAUGUCAGUACAAUUCAUAUGCAAUCAUUGCUCACACAAGCAUAUGCAAUCAUUGCUUGCACAAGCAUGAACUACCAACACACAUCGGUCCAUCAAUUCAAUCAAUCGAAUCAUCAAUCCAUGGUCACACAAGCUAAGAUACAAUAUUACUCACGCAAGUUGAAUUCUAACAAUGCUCACACAAGCUGACAUAGAUCAUUGAGAUCAUUGCUCACAUAAGCUAACAUUCCAUUAGGCUCGCACGAAUUGUCAUACAAUUGGGCUCACACAAGCAUGCAAUUCAAUAUCACUCACACAAGCUGUCAAUUCAACAAUACUCACACAAGCUUCUAUCGUACUUAAAAACCACAUUGGGUGUCACAACCUGACAUCCGAUAUUUUCGAGUUAAAUACCAAAACUUCACCAACAUCAUUCAAUUUCACCAUUUAACAAUCAAUUUGUACAAACUGACCACACGACUGCGAUCAAUGCGAAAUUCUAAUGAUUGGCUAUUCCAGCAUAAUUUUCGGAAAAUAUUAAUUAAUUAAAUUCUGAAAAUUUAAUUAAUAUAAAUAUAAAAUAAUUUAAUUAAAUAAUAUUAAAUAAUAUUAAAUAAUAUUUAUUUUUAAAAAAUAAAAUAAUUAAUUAAAAGCCUAAUCAUGCUUACACUAAUCUAAUUGCAUGAUUAGAGUAAUUAAUCUAUUCACUAAACUAAUCAUUCAUCUAAUCUAAUUAACAAUUAACUAAGAUAAUCUAACCACCUAAACCAUCAUUAGACUAAUCUAAUCACCCUUAAGCAGAGUUUAGUGAGUAAACUCAUCAGAUUAGCAUUCCGAUGAGUCCACGGUGACAACGAUGCGGAGGCGGGCGACAAUCCUCCUAGUGGCGACACCAAACAAGGCAUGGAAAUGAACUAAAACAGGCCUCAAAGACUGAUAGUUCUUGCUAGCUUCGGUUUCUGCUCCAAGGACUGAAAGAGGAGAAACUAGUGGCUAAACGAUGAGGAAGGGUUGAUUGAAGCUUUGACAAGUGGGUGACCGGCAACCGGUAGCACUUGGGGGUCAAAGGGGACUUGUUGGUGGUUGGGAUGGGUGAAGGAAGGGUCGAAAUGGGAGGAAACACACUGAAAAUGCAAAACAGUGCACUCCAAGCGGACUCCAGGCGGUUUGGCAAGCAGCAACUUUUGGCCAGCGGACAGGUCGGCCAGCGGCUCCGUUCGGCAAACAAUGAAGUGCUCCCAUAUGGUUUGGACCUCCUAGACAUGGUGGUGGGUGGCACGGAGGUUGAUUCUCACGGGAAAAUAACUUUUAACAUGGGUUUUUGGAGAAAGGUCAGCUGAAGCAAAAACUAGAAGAAGAAGAAAACAUGGGGGGAAAUAGGUCGAUGGUGGCUCCGAUGGCCUAGGCAUCGUGCGACGGGCAAGGGGAAGGGCUAAGCUCAGGUUCUCUAUAAUUUUUGGGAGCUUCAAGGGUCUGAAAAUGGAGAAAGCAGAGUUGAGGGAGGAAGAAAGGGGAUAGCUCUAGCUUUAAGGGUCCCUCCAAGCUUCUUUCUAUCCCUUUGUUCCCUUUGAGAGGUCCCACCUUGGCUUGGCUGGCUUUCAUAGCCAUUUGUAGACCACAAAGCGUCCUUAGGAAGCCAAGGAGGUGGUCCAAAAGGUUAAGGACCAAGGGGCUACGAAUUUUGGAUAAUUGCACAUCAAAUUCAUUCAAUUCCCCUUCAAUUCUUAUCCAAUUGGACUCAAUUUGAUAUCCAUAAAUCCAACCAAGGUAUCAUCAUCCAAAUCAACAUUUUUCCUCACCAAAUAGUCCAACUUGAAUCCCAAAAAAGAAAUCAAAAGCAGUCCUCGAACUUUCCUGAUCCAAAAUAACCGUACUUUGGACAUUUCGUCGAAAAUCUCAGUUUGCAGAAAAAUAUUCGGAGGAUAAGUCAACGCUCCUAAAAUGAAUUGUGACAUGGAAAAACUUUCAAUUUCUGAAUUCGGACUCCAAUUCAUGGUUAAUUUCAAUCUAGCGUGAUUUUAGCGCGUCAUAAUCUAUUUGGUAGUUUUUAGGAACUUUUAACGCUUUUGACCUGUGAUCAAUUGUUUUCGAGCCAUAAAGUGUAUCUUUGACACAUUAGCGACUUUCGAUCAUCAUGGAAAUCUCGAGAUUACAAAUGUGGACACUAGGUACGAAAACGACAAAAAAAUCAAAUCUAGUGCCGAUCGAUAAGAAUUGUGCAAUUAAAUGGAAUCACACAUACUUAAUCACAUGGUUCUAUCGAGUCGACCUAUCUUCUAUCUCUAACUGGUCUGUGCUGUAAAGACCCUUGCAAAUAAGCACGGUCGAGCAAUCAAUUCAUAUUCGAAUUCUCAAGUCUAUUAUGUUAAAUCCCUUAACGACUUCACAUGACAGACCAGUUAUCCCGUAAAUGAUCAGCUCAGGAAAAAGGACUAUAAACGCGUCGAUGAAAAGCCCAACUCAAUCAAUCGAAAGUAGAACCUGAAAUUCAGGAUAUCACAACUCUCCCCCUCUUAUAAAAAUUUUGUCCUCGAAAUUUAAACCUAUCUUUAAACAAAAAAAUGGGGGUACAAUCGUCCCAUCGACUCUUCACUCUCCCAAGUUAUUCCUUUAGUAUUGUGGUGUUGACAGACCACUUUAAUCAACGGGAUCGUCUUAGUACGUAGAAUUUGUUCUUUCCAAUCCACAAUCUGAACUAGGCUUUUCAUGUACGACACUUUGUCGUUUACGUCUAAUUCCUCAAAAUUAAGCAUGUGGUCGAGUCAGGCUCAUACCUCCUCAACAUUGACACGCGAAAGAUAUAGUGUACUUGUGCCGAUCUUGGCGGCAAUGCAAGACGAAACGCUAAGAUCCCAAUUCUCUCUAGAAUCUCAAAGAGACCUACGUACCUUGAACUCAGUUUUCCCUUCUUGCCAAAACGCAAAGUACCCCUCAUCAAUAACACCUUUAGGAAAACGUGAACAACAACUUGGAAUUCCAAUGGUCUCUAACACUUAUCUACGUAGCUUUUCUGGCGGCUCUAAGCGAUCUUUAGCCUAUCCCUGAUGACUACAACUACAUCCAUUGACUAUUGAACCAAUUCUGAGCCCGUAAUCUUUCUCUCCCCGACUUCAUCCCAACACACGGGCGUUCUUCCCGCUCUACCAUACAACACUUCGAAAGGAGCUAUUUGAAUGCUCUGCUAGUAACUGUUAUUGUAGGCAAACUCAACAAGGUGAAGCUAUUCCUCCCAACUUCCUUUGAAAUCCAACAUGCAAGCUUGCAGCAUGUCUUUGAGGAUUUGAAUUGUCCUCUCAGACUAUUCCGUUUUAGAAUAAUAUGCUGUAUUGUACUGCAGUUUUGUUCCUAAAGCAGCCUACAAACUUUUCCAAAAAGCAACUGUGAAACUCAGGUCUUAGUCUAAAGUUAUCAUCACCAGCACUUCAUGCAAACAAACUAUCUAACGCACAUACAACUCUACGUGCCUAUCCAAAUCAAGGUCCUUCCGUACUACGAUGAAGUGAGCCGACUUCAUCAGUCUGUCGACCACUACCCAAAUGGAAUCAUUACAUCUCUGACUCCUCGGUAAGCCUGUCACAAAGUCCAUCAUGAUGUGCUCCCAUUUCCACUGUGGGAUCUCGAGAGGUUGUAGAAGUCCUCCCGGCUUACAAUUUUAUGCCUUCACUUGCUGACACGUUAGACACUUAGCGACAAGAUUGGCGAUAUCCGCCUUCAUACCAAACCACCAGUAGUAUUGAUGUAGAUUUUAAUACAUCUUUGUACUGCUAAGAUGAAUGCUGUAACUGCUACAAUAAACUUCUAAUAAAAUCUCCUCUCUAAGCUCCGUAUCAUCGGGUACACACAAUCGUCUUCGGAAUCUCAGUGUUCCAUCCUUAGAGAUCUGAAAGUUAGAUUUUCUCUUAUCAGUGUCCUCUUAUAGAAUCUUCUAAACAUUUGGGUCUGUCAGCUGAAGUGCCUUGAUUCUGAUCUGAACAUCCGGCUCAAUUCUGAGGAUGGCCAUGAGAUGUGAAAGGUAGCCUACCUCAAAUUUGAAAACCGAAUCUCGAGCUCUCUUGAGUAAAACCCAUUCCUUGACCAUCAUCUAUGCAACUCAAGACUUCUAACUCAAAGCGGCCGGGACCUUAUUUGCCUUCCCAAGGUGAUACAAAACAUUACAAUCGUAGUCCUUCAGAAGUACCAUCCAACGAUGUUGUUUCAUGUUCAACUCCUUCUGAAAAUAAUGUCUCCAAAUCUUCAAAGCAAAAAUGAUUGCCGCGAGUUCCAAGUCAUGCGUCGGGUAAUUCUGUUCAUGGGGUCUCAACUGAUGGGAGGCAUAUGCAACAACCCUACCAUAUUGUAUCAGAAUGCAACCCAAUCCUCUAAAUGACGCAUCACUAUAUAUCUCGUAUCCUCCAAGACCAAAAGGUAUGGUCAGCAUAGGUGCAGUAGUUAGCUUUUAAUUAAGCACUUGGAAACUACGCUCGCACUUGUCUAUCCACACAAACUUUUCUUCUUUCUUCAGGAGUCGAGUCAACGGCAAUGCUAAGGCUGAACAUCCUUCCACAAACCGUCUAUAGUACCUGGCCAAACCCAAGAAGCUUUUGAUCUCUAUCACGGUCGUCGGUCUUGGCCAGUUGAUUACUGUUUCAAUCUUAGACGGGUCCACAGAGAUUCCUUCACCUAAAAUCAUGUGACCUAAGAAUGCAACACGAGUCAAUCAAAACUCGCACUUGCUAAACUUAUCAUACAAUCCAUGGAUUCUCAGGGUUUGGAGCACUAUCCUCAAAUGACUCUUGUGCUCCUCAGCACUUCUCGAGUAUACCAGAAUAUCAUCGAUGAACGUGAUCGCAAAUUGAUCCAGUUACUCUUUAAACACUCGAUUCAUUAAAUCCAUAAAAGCAGCCAGAGCGUCUGUCAAACCAAAUGGCAUUACAGUAAACUCAUAAUGAUUGUAUUGAGUACAAAACACUGACUUCAGUAUAUCCUCCUUUCUGAUUCUCAACUGGUGAUACCCUGUCCUCAAGUCAAUCUUUGAAAAUAUCAACGCUCCUUGCAACUGAUCAAACAAGUCGUCAAUCCUCAGCAGUGGAUACUUGUUCUUGAUCAUCACCUGAUUGAGUUGACGAUUGUCGAUGUAUAAGUGUAAUGAACCAUCUUUCUCCUUCACGAACAAAGUUGGUGCUUCCUAAGGUGAUGCAGUAGGACGUAUGAAUCCAUUAUCUAACAAUUCAUGCAUCUGUAUCUUUAGUUAUUUCAACUCAAAUAACGCCAUCCGAUAAGGAGCCUUAGAGAUUGGCUUUGUCCCGGGUACUAACUCAAUCACAAACUCUCUCUCUCUCUCUCUCUCUCUCUCUCUCUCUCUCUCUCUCUCUCUCUCUCUCUCUCUCUCUCUAGCAGCAGGCUUGGCAAUUCUUUCGGAAACACGUCCGAAAACUCUUGGACUAUUGAGAUGUCCUCAAUCUUCAGCUCCUUGACUGUUGUAUCCACAACAAUCAGAUACAACAGUCAAGGAGCUGAAGAUCGAGGAUGCAACCCCCAUCUAACAAAUGGGUUGCCUCAAGUGACGAGAUUAAGGAAAUCGAGAGUCCUCCUCGACUCCUAGANNNNNNNNNNNNNNNNNNNNNNNNNNNNNNNNNNNNNNNNNNNNNNNNNNNNNNNNNNNNNNNNNNNNNNNNNNNNNNNNNNNNNNNNNNNNNNNNNNNNCAACUACUCGGCUAUAAAGGAAUGAGUGGUACCAGGGUCAAACAAAGCAUAUGCAGCAUGGUCAUUUAACGAGACCAUACUUAUAAUCACAUUAGGCGCAUCCUCAGCUUGUCCUCUCGUGAUAAUGUACACUUGUGCUUGUGCUGGGGGUCUAUUCAGUCCACCUUGCGGUGCAAUCCUGUGGCACGAACCCUCUAUUCUAACCCAACGGUGGCGGUGGUGAUAACUGUUGUUGUCUUAUUUGCUUUCUGGGACAAUCUCUGGCUUGGUGACCCUAUUAGCCACACUCAAAACAAGAACCCAUACUGAAAUGGCAUAGGAUUGCACCAUGUCGCCUUCCACACAGGCGACAUACACCAUUUUGAUUUGAUGCUAACUUUCCAACUCCACCCUUCCUAUUGGGCAGAACAUGGAACCUUCCUCCGGUCAUUGGCCUCUUCUCAUACUGAUUCCCAUCUCUAUUCGAAUUAAAUAUCGAUCCAAACAAGAUGGCUUGCUCAUUCAGAAUUCUCUCUAGCAGCUAGGCUCGAUUGUAAACCUCAUGAUAGUCCUUCAGAUCCAGUGGUACCAGCGAUCGUUUCAACUCUAGUCGAAGGCCAUUCCUGAACCUUCGAGCUUUAUCUUCUGGAUCUUCUAUCAAUCUCGAAGCAUAUUGAGAAAGCUCUGCAAACUUAACCUCAUACUAGUCAACAAUCAUCAUCCCUUGGCGGAGGUGUUGAAAUUCUUCCAUCUUCUGUUAUUGGGAGCCACCCAAAAAGCAUUUGUCAUUGAAGGCUCUGAGGAAAGCGUUCCACACUGGAACCACGCCUUCAGGAAAUAUCAUACCUCUAGUGGCUCUCCACCAAGUAUUAGCAUUACCUUGCAGCUGGUAGACUGCCAGGACAACCUUCUCCUCCUCAGUGCACAUCAAAAGUGCAAAGGCUUUCUCCAAAUCUUGGAUCCAGAGUGACGCAGCUUCAGGAUCUCCUGCGCCAUUGAACCUUGGCGACCUCAGCUUCAAGAACUACUCAACGAGCUUGUGAAUCGGUCUCCCAGCAACCACGUUCUGAAGUGGAACAUCAACAGGUGUAGCUGUGGCUGUGGUCUCAACGGCGGCAGCAAUGACAAUAGUAGCAACGGCUUGAGCGGCAGCAUCUUGAUUCUAAGCCUGCUACCCUAUCAAAUCUCUCAUCACUUCAAAAGCCUACAUGAUCCCUUCGAACCUGGGAUCACCAAGGGCUGCUACCCCAGCACCAACAGGAGGCAGUGCUACUCCACUAGCACUAACUUGAGCUGGCGCUCGACCAUGACCUCUUCGGGUACUGACCCUCGUCGGCGUCCUACCUCGAGUCGCAGGUCCUAUGGUAUGCUUCCUAAGAGUCCUCUAUUCCUAAUCACUCAUGACUCAAGUUUUCUACUGAAACCUGCCUUUCAAUUUCAUAUAGAAUUAGAAGCUGAGUGAUUACAAACAAACAAUCUACCAACCAUCUAUCACAAAUAUGCACCAUCAAGAAAUAAAGCCAUUUCCUACUAACUAUCCCAUAAACUUAUCGCAUAUUAUCACUCCAACCACUAACCUGCUCUAAUACCACUAACUAGGGAUGUCAUGCCCUGAUCCUCGUGCACGUGCCCAUCUCUCGAUGGUCAAUAAAUUUGCAACGUCUCAGGAUGCAUCGCCAACCCAUUCAUUUUAUUACGCAUGUAGAAGCGAACAAAACCCUUGACAACCAUUAACUUUGGGAUAGAAAAGUAGGCAACAAUUUACAACCAAAACAAGCCUAUUAUAAACACACAGGUUUAUAUACAAUAUCAUGCUAUUUACAAAAUAUCGGCUCAAUAAAAAGGGGACUGUCCUAUGACCCACCAGUCCGACACGUUUGAUGAUUCUUCGAUCUCCUCCUUCAUAAAUUCUGGAGCUUCGGGUCCUCCACCACUGACAUCUAAGGACCUCAAAAUGUUGAGCCCACGACGAGGUGAGACAAUGUCUUAGCAAGUUUACCCCCCCUAAACUCCGACUAGGAAGGAAAUACGCUUAGAGGCAAUCUAUGCACACAAGGCAAAAGACUUACCUUGCCUCAAUCCCUUCCUACAUGUCAGUACAAUUCAUAUGCAGUCAUUGCUCGCACAAGCAUGAACUACCGAUACACAUCGGUCCAUCAAUUCAAUCAAUCCAAUCAAUCAAUCCCUGCUCACACAAGCUGAGAUAUACUAUUGCUCACAUAAGCUUACUUCUAACAAUGCUCACACAAGCUGACAUAGAUCAUUGAGAUCAUUGCUCACACAAGCUAACUGAUCAUUGCUCUCACAAGUUGACUUUUAUAUUUGCUCACACAAGCUAACUUAUCCUCACUCACACAAGCUGACCUAUCCUCGCUCACACAAGCUGACAUUCCAUUAGGCUCACACGAUCUGUCAUACAAUAGGGCUCACACAAGCAUGAACUACCGACACACAUCGGUCCAUCAAUUCAAUCAAUCCAAUCAAUCAAUCCUUGCUCACACAAGUUGAGAUACACUAUUACUCACACAAGUUGACUUCUAACAAUGCUCACACAAGCUGACAUAGAUCAUUGAGAUCAUUGCUCAUCCAAGCUAACUGAUCAUUGCUCUCACAAGCUGACUUUUAUAUUUGCUCACACAAGUUGAUUUAUCCUCGCUCACACAAGCUGACAUUCCAUUAGGCUCACACGAACUGUCAUACAAUAUGGCUCACACAAGCAUGCAAUUCAAUAUUGCUCACACAAGCUGUCAAUUCAACAAUACUCACACAAGUUGUUAUCGAAUUUAAAAACCACAUUCAAUGUCACAACUCGAUACUCAAUAUUUUCGAGUUAAAUACCAAAACUCCACUAACAUCAUUCAAUUUCACCAUUUAACAAUCGAUUUGUACAAACUGACCACACCACUGCAAUCAGUGCGAAAUUCUAACGAUUGACCAUCCCGGCAUAAUUUUUGAAAAAUAUUGAUUAAUUAAAUUCGAAAAUUUUAAUUAAUUUAAAUAUAAAAUAAUGUAAUUUAAUAAUAUUUAUUUGAAAUAAAUAAAAUAAUUAAUUAAAAUUCUAAUCAUGCUUACACUAAUCUAAUUGCAUAAUUAAACUAAUUAAAUCAUCCACUAAACUAACCAUUCAUGUAAUCUAAUUAACAAUUAACUAAGCUAAUCUAACCACCUAAACGAUCAUUAAACUAAUCUAAUCACCCAUCAAGCACAAUUAACUCCCUAAUCAGAGUUUAGUGAGUAAACUCACCGAAUUAACAUUCCGAUGAGUCCAUGGCAAUGACGACGAUGACGCGAAGGCGGGCGACAAUCCUCCUAGUGGUGACUCCAAACAAGGCCCGAAAGGGACCUAAAACAGGCCCGAAGAUUGAAAGCCUUUGCUGGCUUCAGUUUCUAUUCCAAGGACCGAAGGAGGAGAAACCAGUGGCUGAACAAUGAGGAAGGGCUGAUCAAAGCUUCGGUGAGCGGGUGGCUAGCAACUGGCAGCACCUAAGGGUCAAGGGGGACUUUUUGGUGGUUGGGAUGGGUUGAGGAAGGGUUAGAAUGGGAGGAAACACGUAGAAAACGUGAAAUAGUGCACUCUAGGCGGACUCCAGGUGGUUCGGCGAACGGCGACUUCCAGCCGACGGACGAGUCGGCCGGCGGCUCCGUUUGGCAAACGAUAAGGUGCUCUCGUACGGUUUGGACCUCUUGGACAUGGUGGUGGGUGGCACAAAGGUUGAUUCUCAUGGGAAGACAACUUUUAACUCGGGUUUUUGGAGAAAGGUCAGCUGGAGCAGAAACAGGAAGAAUGAGAAAAGAGAGGGGGAAAAAGAUAUCGAUUGGUGGCUCCGAUGGCCUAGGCGGCGUGCGAUGGGCAAAGGAGAGAGGUUGAGCUCAGUUUCUCUAUAAUUUUUGGGAGCUUCAAGGGUCUGAAAAUGGAGAAAGCAGAGUUGAGGGAGGAAGAAAAGGGACUACUCUAGCUUUGAGGGUCCCUCCAAGCUUCUUUCUAUCACUUUGUCCCCUUGGAGAGGUCCCACCUUGGCUUGGCUAGCUUCCACAAUCAUUUGUAGACCACAAAGCUUGCUUAGGAAGCCAAGGAGGUGGUCCAAAAGGUUGAGGACCAAUGGGCUACGAAUUUUGGACAAUUACACAUCAAAUUCAUUCAAUUCUCCUUCAAUUCUUAUCCAAUUGGACUUAAUUUGAUGUCCAUAAAUGCAACCAAGGUGCCAUCAACCCAAUCAACAUUUUUCCUCACCAAAAUAGUCCAACUUGAAUCCAAAAAACCACAUUAAAAGCGGUCCUCGAAUUUUUCCAAUCCAAAAUAACCUUACUUUGGAUUUUUCGCCGAAAAUCUCGAUUUGUAGAAAAAUCUUUGGUGGAUGAGUGACGCUUCUAAAAUGAUUUGUGACAUGAUAGAACUUUCAAUUUUUGAAUUCGGGUUCCAAUUCGCAGUUAAUUUCAAUCCGGCGUGAUUUUAGCGCAUUCUAAUUUACUGGGUAACUUUUAAGAACUUUUAAUGCUUUUGACCUGUGGUUAAUUGUUUUCGAGCCACAAACUAUAUCUUGGACACAUUGGCGAUUCUCGAUUGUCGUGAAAAUCUUGAGAUUUCAAAUGCGGACAUAGGAUACCAAAACGAUAGAGAAAUCGGUCUAGUGUUGAUCGACAAGAAUUGUGUAAUUAGAUGGAAUCACUCAUACUUAAUUACAUGGUUAUGUCGAGUUGGCCUAUCUCCAGUCUCUAAUCAGUUUGUGCCGUAAUGACCCUUAUAGAUUAACACAAUCAAAUAGUCGAUUUCUUUUCGAAUUCUUAAGUCUAUUGCGUUAAAAUCCUUGAACGGCUUCACCAGAUAGACUAGUUAUUCCGUGAGUGAUCAGCUCAAGGAAAAAUACUACAAGCGCAUCGAUGAAAAGCCCAACUCAAUCAAUCAAAAGCAAAACCUGAAAUUCAGAAUGUCACAUGACAUAUAUACAUGUCACAAAAUCACUUCACAAGUAUGCACCUCACUCACAAAUGCUUUCUAUGCAUUGUCACCUCGAGAAUCAUAUAAUACCCCAUAAUAUUAUACCAUAUCAAGUCAAUUUAAUUAACACACAUAACCAGAACCCUUGGUUCUUCUAGAAACCUCUAGGAUAUCAUCUCACCCUAUCAAGCACAGCAUCUGAACACUUUUGUGUAUCCUUUUGAGCAUCAAUCCGUAACCAUCACCAUGAAAGGCAUCCGAAAACCUUUGAGUGUCACCCUACAAUGUCUCUCGAUGGCAAUAUCUUCCCUUGAAUCCUUCGAUGACGGAAUUUUUCGUAUGAUCAUACGAAUUAAGCACACUACCGGUUUUAUAUUCCACUUUAGGCCAAAGCAUGAAUGCCCCUAGAGUGUGCCAAGUGAUGUGUAACUCAUGACCUAUCGGAAAUGUAUAGAUAAAAUAUGCCAAGCAUGAAAUGAGAAUCGUGACUUGACCUAUUAGUUCGAGCACCGGGCUAAGUCAAACCCAAAUCGGACGAUACGCCUCAAUAUUGCCAAACCAAGAGAGUGACCUGGCCCGGCAUGCUUCCACACAUGUCCAAGAACUAAUGCAAUUCUAACUUUAGAGGCUCAGUCUGGUUUCAAGCAUCAACCAUGACUUAUGGACAACAAUAUGUGAAGACCACACCUAGAAAUCAAUAACAGCCUCUACGACCAAUCAUAAUAGCAUCACAUAAUGAAAACACAUCCAACAAUAGAUACAACACAGUGUCUAAGCUAAGUUAACAAUUAAAGUAGAAUUACAAGAGACAAUCACAAGAUUACACAUCCAAAGAACUAUAAACAAGUCUUGAAAACAAUACUAAUCUGCAUCACAUAAGAUCACACAUCCAAUCCUAACAACCAAAAUUAAGAACUAAAAUCAACAAACCAUAUACAACUAUCAUGGCAAUUUCUUUGGGCCAAGCAAUAACAUACACAUAAAUGGUCCAUUCCUACUAACAACGAUGAUCCGGACAAUCUCAACAACCACUUAAUCAUUUCUCACCUAUUUCUGAAUCUUAUAGUUGAGAUAGCUAGUAUAAGCACCUAGAGGGGGGUGAAUAGGUGCACAAACAAUUUCUCGAGAUACGGAAGCGAUUCUAGGCAAACGAUAGAAAGGAAAAUACGAUCAAAGUAAAGUAAAGGUUAUGGAAGAGAAAAUUGAACACAAGAUUUAUAGUGGUUCGGCUUAUUCCAAGCCUAUGUCCACUCUUCCGCACUGACAGCCCACUAGCUGGAUUUCACUAUGAACAAAAGAGAAGUUACAGCAGAGCUUUUCCUUGAGUCCACAGUGUAGAUGUUCUACCACACUUCCUCAAAGUUUCUCACGAAUAUAGACUCUCUUUUGUUUACACGAUUUUGCUUAACAAAUGAAUUGACUAAAAACAAGGAGCUUCAGACUUUGGAAUUCUUCUAUCGUGCACACUCUCGAAUAACUGGAACGUCUUCCUUAUAUACUCCUUCAUGCCAUCAUACCCAUUGGCACUUACCAAAGGAAUUCCUCCAAUCUACCCGUUGGACGGAAUCAAUUAGAAAGAUCAUUCGAGCUAUUAAAGGAACGUGUCAAUAACCCAUCAAUCAUGUUCGCCCAUACAAUCAGGAUCUCGGUUUCCAUAAGUAGAACCUUCCAAGUAUACUUUGCCAAUCAUCGGAUCCUUAAUCUUCGAAUCAAUUAUGAUCAAAUAAAAGAUUCUGUUAUGUCAUAUUCAGCCAAGAGAUCUUCUCCAGUCGAUAAGGCAACAUCUUUAAUGAAACAUCUAGUUCUGGAUAGCCUUUCUUCAACGGAUUAGAAACUGUCAAUGAGGAUAGACUUUGAGUCUUGAGUCUGGUUGUCCGGAGGUCUUCAGACUUUAAAUAGCAGAGUUUGCAAGCCUUCAGACUAGACUGAUGGAAACGUUUUGUCAACUUCAAAACACUUCAAGAGGAUUUCUCCAACAAUCUCCCCCUUUUUUAUGGUGACAAAACUUUCCUGCAGAUUUGGAAAACUUUGACCUGCAAAACAUUUCUCAAACACAUAUGCAUAUCUUAUAGAGAUAAAUGGCUAAAUGAAUAACACUAGAAUCUACAACCACAGAAAAUAGGUUAGUCUAGUCUGAAUAACACUAGAAUCUACAACCAUAAGAUAUCAAUAGUAGUUAAUAAUAAGCAGUCAAAUCAAAAUCCCAAAUUUAGUCCACAUCCAGACACACAAGUCAAGUCAAAACAAACUACAAACCAAACAAGCCAAAAGUUCGACAAAUUUAAGUUUAAAGUUUUUCAAAUCUCGUAACUCUCCCCCUUUUUGUCAGCAUAAAAAAAAUUAAGAUGAAAAUGGAGUGGAGUCAAGAAUGCUUGGGAACACGAACAAGCUGGAAAUCUCCCAUCGACUGAACGAUGCCUUCCAGCCUUUUCAAGUCUUCCUUCAGUUGUGCAACAUCCUCACCCUUAGCAUUAGCGUGAAUCUGAAGAGAAAUGGCUUGGAUUUGAUCAUUCAAUGAACCUGAAAAAGCUUGUCCUGCAUUCUGCAAGUUCUGAAUUUCGCAUCCCAAUGCAUAUAUCUGACAUUGCAUCUCCAAAAGAAUAUCCAUCACUCUGCGAAAGUCUGCUGAAUUGUCGAUCUGCGUACUGGCGUUGGCACGAUAUGAUGGAGUAAAUGCAGACGAUGGUAGAUCAGCAUAAUCAUGCAGAUUUGGCGAAGAAACAUCAUGACCUUCCUCAGGAAACUGAGAUGCAUAAAUAUCCUCUGGAUCUGCUGGGGAUCGACUGACUCCCUCACUGGUUACAAAAUUUGAGGACAUGCCUCUUUUCUCUUGGUCUCCCCCUGUGUUCAUGCCUUCAGGUGGAGAGUGCUCCUCAUGUUCUCCUUCUUCUUGAUCUCUUUUCUUUUCUUCUUCUUUUUCAACUCUCUCUUUCUCAGCAUCUCUUUCUUCUUCUUCUUCUUCUUCUUCUUCUUCUUCUUCUUCUUCUCUUUCCUCCGUUUCUUUUUCCUCUGCUUCUUUCUCUUCUCUUUCUUCUGUCCGCUGUUCUGAGUCUUUCUCUGGAACAGAUCGACAUUGUAGAAAUAGUGAUGUUAUCCUCAUCAUCUUCAUCCUCAACGAUGAGAGCUCUUCUUUUCUUGGAUGGAGCAUCCAUGGGCUCCUUCCCUUUUCUUUUUUCUGCAGAAGAGAAUUGAUGAGAUUUGACUGGAGUCUUCUCCUUAAAUUUCUCCAAUGCCUUGCUUAGUUCCUUCAGACGCAUCUUGGUCACCAUUUUCAGUCCUACCACCAUAUGAUCGCACGAUCGAGUACAAAGAAUUUGCGGAGGCUGAAUGUUCAGAUGUCUGAAUAACUUCGUCACAAGACCUGGAUAAGGAAGUUGACCUCUGUCCUUCAUCACAGCUCUAUACAUGUGGAACAUAACAGUGUGAGGAAGUGAAAACCUUUUCCCAGAGAUGAUGGCAUACAUCAACUUUGCCUCUGAACUUGAAACAUCAGUUUUGGAAGUUGAUUUCAGUCUGAGGCAAUUGAUUACAAUCUUGUGCAGCAAGAUGUUGAAUGCACUCAUCCUUGAGUAGGAAAUCUUUUCCUCUGUUCUCCUGUCCUUAACAAGUUCCAGUGUAGCACGAGCAAUAGAAACUUUGAUCCGUUGAUAUCUUCCUCUCUCCACUCCUAACACAUCUGCUAGCAUAUCCAUAUCCACUACAAAGUCUUGAUCUUUGACACUGAAAGAGAAUUUAUUCGCAUCCAAGAAACUAAGAUUUGAAUAGAAAUAUGCAGUUAGUUGAGGAUAGGCCUCUAUGGUGUCAGAGCAGAAUUUUUCAAGUUGAAGAUGACCGAACUUUUCCCUCAAGUUCACAUUCACAGCAUCCAGAAAAUCAAAAUCCACACUCCUAGGGUUUAUCACCCCACGCUUCAGCAAUUUUGAGUAUAGAUCCUUCUGUUCCUUCGAUCUAAACAACUCUUCCCUUUUUCCUCGAUUUUCCGCCGCAACUCUCAUUCUUGGUUGAAAUUGGCUGUAUAAUUUGUCAUCAUCAUUUCCAUCUACCGGAUUAAAUCCCCAAUCACGAGGAUCACUUGGGAUGUUCGCAAGGGUUUCUUCUGCCACCCCUUUACGAGCAAUUCCCAAACUUUCCAUUUUUCGCAAAAGGAUAUAUUCAUUUCCAUAUCCUUUGUCCUUAAGAAAAUCAUCGAGAUAGUUCAAUGGAGUACCAGUCCCUAUUAAAGCACGAUACAACUUAUAAAUAAAAGAGGGCCUUUGAACUCUUACAGGAUCUGCACCUUCAAUGAUUUAUUCAUUUUGUUGAUGAUCAACAUCUUGAGGACUAGAUGGAGGAGAAUGACACUGCUGAGAAUGUUGUGGGCUCUACUGCUGAUUUGGAGACACUUCUUCAAUGAGAUCGAAGUGUGUAGGCCCCUCACUCAUUCGCCGUGGUCCCCUGCUUGCGAUCCUCGAAGACUUUCUUGAAGACGACAUCUUUCUUAGUCUUUGAAAGAUUCCUUGCUUGACUUUCCCAAGAAAGAUGACAACUUUUUCGAAGAUUAAACAAGAGAAGAAAAUAGGAAUGGAAGAUUGGUGCUUUUUAGGGUUUUGGAGUUAAGCGAAGAGAAACUGACUGUAUAUAAGACAGUCAAAAGGAGGGGAUACCAAACGACAUAAUGGAAAGUGAAAAGAUGCCUUUAAAAAAAUAACUGCCUUUUUCGAAAAAUGGUCAUUUCAAAAUAACUCUUUUUUCUAAAGGAAACGAUGCAAUAAUCUCGUCAAUUAAAGAUAGCGGUUGAGAUAACAAUAAUCAAACACAGUUGAUGAACGUACCUUUUCAAGAUGAGAUUAGAGAGAGAAUAACUUACAGUCAAAGUCUUGCAGUCAAAGUCUUAUUUGUCUGUGUCUGAGAGUCUCUAGACUUUAACUUCUUCAAACCUCAAAAUGUUGAGUUUGGAACGGAUAAUUUCAAAUUGAUUUUUCUCCAAAGGCUUUGUAAAUAUAUCCGCCAGUUGGUUCUUUGAGUCAACAAACUGAAUCGUAAUUUCUCUAUUUUGAACAUGAUCUCUAAUGAAGUGAUGUCGAAUCUCUAUAUGCUUUGCUCUUGAGUGAAGAAUUGGAUUUUUGGUGAGAUUGAUUGCGCUGGUGUUGUCACAUUUAAUCUCCGUGCAUGAAUCUUCAAUUCCAAAGUCUCUUAGCUGUUGUUUUAUCCACAGAAUUUGUGAACAACAACUUCCAAGAGCUACAUAUUCUGCUUCUGCUGUAGAGAGAGCUACUGUACUUUGCUUCCUUGAAAACCAAGACACUAUCCUACCUCCAAGUAGUUGACAAGUACCUAAGGUGCUCUUUCUAUCAACUCUGCAUCCGACUAAGUCUGCGUCUGAGUACCCAAGAAGAGUAAAGUCUCCCCUUUUAGGAUACUAGAGACCAAAACUUGAAGUUGAUGCAAUAUAUUUGAUAAUACGCUUUGCAGCAUUUAAAUGUGAUUCUUUAGGGUCUGCUUGAAAUCUGGCACAAAUGCAAACACUAAACAAAAUGUCAGGUCUAGAAGUAGUAAGAUAAAGAAGUGAACCGAUGAUACUCAUGUAUAACUUUUGGUCGACUUUCUUUCCUCCUUCAUCUUUAUCUAUCUUCAAGGAACUUGACAUUGAUAUAUCGGCCUUUUUGCAAUUGUCCAGUCCAAACUUCUUCACAAUAUCAUUAGCAUAUUUUUCUUGAUGAAUAAAAGUUCCUUCCUUCAGUUGUUUCACUUAAAGUCCAAGAAAGAAGGUUAACUCACCCAUCAUGCUCAUUUCAAAUUCAUCCUGCAUAGUCUUAGAGAAUUUCUUGCAUAAACAAUUUCUCGAGAUACAGAAGCGAUUCUAGGCAAACGAUAGAAAGGAAAAUACGAUCAAAGUAAAGUAAAAUAAAGGUUAGGGAAGAGAAAAUUGAACACAAGAUUUAUAGUGGUUCAGCUUAUUCCAAGCCUACGUCCACUCUUCCGCACUGACAGCCCACCGGCUGGAUUUCACUAUGAACAAAAAAGAAGUUACAGCACAGCUUUUCCUUGAUUCCACAGUGUAGAUGUUCUACCACACUUCAUCAAGGUUUCUCACGAAUAUAGACUCUCUUUUGUUUACACAAUUUUGCUUAACAAAUGAAUUGACUAAAAACAAGGAGCUUCAGACUUUGGAAUUAUUCUAUCGUGCACACUCUCGAACAACUGGAACGUCUUCCUUAUAUACUCCUUCAUGCCAUCAUACCCGUUGGCACUUACCAAAGGAAUUCCUCCAAUCUACCCGUUGGACGGAAUCAAUUAGCAAGAUCAUUCGAGCUAUUAAAGGAACAUGUCGAUAGCCCAUCAAUCAUGUUCGCCCAUACAAUCAGGAUCACGGUUUCCAUAAGUAGAACCUUCCAAGUAUACUUUGCCAAUCAUCGGAUCCUUAAUCUUCGAAUCAAUUAUGAUCAAAUAAAGGAUUCUAUUAUGUCAUAUCCAGCCAAGAGAUCUUUUCCAGUCGAUAAGGCCACAUCUUUAAUGAAACAUCCAGUUCUGGAUAGCCUUUCUUCAACGGAUUAGAAACUGUCAAUGAGGAUAGACUUUGAGUCUUGAGUCUGGCUGUCCGGAGGUCUUCAGACUUUAAAUAGCAGAAUCUGCAGGCUUUCAGACUAGACUGAUGGAAACGUUUUGUCAAUUUCAAAACACUUCAAGAGGAUUUCUCCAACAAUAGUCCAAGCACAUCAUGAACUAGAUUUGUUGCUCAAACUAAGGGGUCUCCCCCUAAUGGGCGCCCUUUCCUCUUGAUUGGCCUCCAAGAAUUUUGUCUCAUCUCAAUUAAAUCUCAAGAAGCUAAAUUGGUCUCAUUUCUAGAGCCACCAAAGUCUUUAUAAUUAAAUUAGCACAUUUCUCAAAUCAUUUUUACUGUGUCCAUUAAUAUUUGGACUAACUCUAGGCUUGUGAUCCUUCUUUCCCUGAUUCUGCUAGCUUGUCCAUACAAAGCUUCGAAUGGUGCCAUUCUGAUACUCUGCUGAUAGCUGUUAUUGUAGGAGAAUUCGACAAGAUCUAAUUGCUCUUCCCAACUUCCUUUAAAAUCAAGUACACAAGCUCAUAGUAUGUCUUCAAGAGUUUGAAUCGUCCUUUUUGAUUGGCCAUCUAUUUAUGGAUGAUAGGUUGUGCUAUACCGAAGUUUCGUUCCUAUGGCCUUCUGAAGGCUCUUCCAAAAUGCAGCAAUGAACUUGGGAUCUCUAUCCGAGGUAAUCGUCACUGGUGCUCUGUGAAGAUGAAUUAUCUAUGGGACAUAAAGUCUUGCCUAUUCUUCCAAUGAUAAAUUUUUUUGUACAGCCAAGAAAUGGGUUCACUUGGUCGCCAGUCGACUAUCACCUAAAUAGAAUCAUGACCUCUUUGGCUCUUUGAAAGUCCCAUGACGAAGUCCAUUGUGAUGUGCUCGCAUUUCCAUUCUAUGAUUUCUAGUGAUUGAAGUAAUCCAACAAGCUUGCAGUGUGAUGCCUUUAUUUGUUGACACAUCAAACAUUUGGCAAUGUGCUAGGCGAUAUCAACUUUCAUGCCAUUCCACCAGUAAUAUUGUUGGAGAUUCCGGUAUAUCUUCGAUCUACCUUAAUGUAUGCUAUAAAUGCUUUGGUGUGCUUCUGAUAAGAUUUCCUCCUUAAGUUCCGCAUUGUUGGGUAUGCACAAUCGCCCACGGAAUUUCAAUGCUCCAUCUUCCAUUACUUGGAAAUUUAGCUUUUUCUUUUCCGAAACUCCUCGACUUUUCUAGAAUUCAGGAUCAUUUUGUUGCAAUAAUUUGAUCUAUGAUUGCGUGAAUGAUUUCUAAUUUGAGUUCCCUAAAUUAGAAAUCAUACACGCAAUCAAAGAUUCUUGCGCUGAAAGAACUAGAACGCCUCUGCCACUGGGUCAAUCCCAAGUUGGGUAUGAUGUUAAAAGUUAAUCGACAUCAAAUCCAAACUUUAAAAGACUACAAAGACGGAAACAUGAAACUAGAGAUCAGUGUCAUCUCAAAUGCGCUGGAUGUAUUAACCUCGAGCGGGUGGCAGCAUACGUAUUUGAGCCCCAACACAUUCUAAAAAUGGAACAUGAAACAUAGCACGACAAACAUAAGGAACAAGAAUCAUAGUAGAGGACAUUAUCAUGAACCUACUACGGGCAUGCGUAAGAUACGAGAGAAACAGAAUGGUCAAACGCUUGCCAAGAAGUUGUCCAAUUGGUCGAAAUCUCACAAUCAAGUUGGUUAUGAGUUUCGCAAAAAAAGCAUCUGAACUUCAAGCUGGAACCAACUAAAGCUUCUCGAUGAGGUUCGAAUGGUACGUUGAAAACGAAAUAUAAGCAGCUUCUUCUAACGGAAUGUCCUCUAUUAGUCCUUUCUGAAUAAAUUUUACCAAAAAAAAAAAAAAAAAACUAGAUUAGAUAAUUAAGGGAUCCGUGACACCAACGAGUAAGAAUUUUUCUAGUUAUACCCGCUCUUCAAGAACAUCUAACUCCAGAAAUUUUAACAAUUUGUUUGAAUGAUACAUAUUAUGACCGGAUCCUGCGAAUAUUUCGAUUCCACCAAACGAUGUCACCAUGGUUUCUAUCCGAUUAAUUAUUGACAAAGCAAUAUAUGCAAUUUGUGAGGGUUGUUUUAGCUAAUGCGAGUCCUUGAUAAAUAAAUAAUAUUUUAAACUCCACAGGUUUUGAAUCGCAUAAAACUGAUCCGAAUUCCUUUUUAUAUGAAUCUUGAUUUGUACGAAUCCCCUUCAUGUCAACCUAACGAUGAAGAAAACGACAGAGCAGCAAUUUUGUGUCGAUUGUCCGCCCCUAUUUAAGUGAGCGAACUUUGCAUCAGAUGAUCACCAGAACAAAGCUUGCUUCGAAUUAAGCUAAAAAGAUUUCGUACUGCAAGAGAUGGACUCUUGGCUUCAAAUCCUUGUUCUCGUUGCGUGCAUCACUCCGGCUGUGGUCCAGGGCAGAGUUCGGAACUACACAUUCAAUGUAAGUAAUGACACAAUGGAAUGAAGUAUUCCUCUGUAAAACUUGCUUGCGAGGACGGUAGCCCGUGUACUGAUAUGUGUUUAUUCCUCUAAUUGGCAGGUGGUAAUGAAGAAUACGACGAGGCUGUGUUCGAGCAAGCCCAUCGUGACCGUGAAUGGGAUGUUCCCGGGACCCACUCUCUACGCUAGGGAAGACGACACCGUGCUCGUGAGGGUCUCCAACCGUGUCAAAUACAAUGUCACCAUCCAUUGGUAAGCUCAACCGAGCUCUAAAUUAAACUACUAUCUUUAGGAAAUCGCACAUUAAUUUUGGUGUAUAUGCGGUUAGGCAUGGUAUUCGGCAGCUGAGGUCGGGGUGGGCCGACGGGCCGGCAUACAUCACCCAAUGCCCAAUUCAGCCAGGCCAAAGCUAUGUGUACAAUUUCACCAUCACGGGCCAACGGGGCACCCUCCUUUGGCAUGCGCACAUACUCUGGCUCAGGGCAACCCUGCACGGAGCCAUUGUCAUCUUGCCCAAGCGCGGUGUUCCAUACCCUUUCCCUAAACCCCACAAGGAAGUUGUUGUCGUACUGGGUAUGCUCGAUUUCACUUCCAAUCUACUUCGCUUGGUUGACAGCAUAUACUAGUAGAAGCUCUGAACCAUUCUGGGUUUUGUGAAUCAGGCGAAUGGUGGAAAUCUGAUACAGAAGCUGUGAUCAAGCAAGCCAUCAAGUCCGGAUUGGCACCAAAUGUCUCCGAUGCUCACACGAUCAAUGGCCAUCCAGGGCCAAUUUCCAAUUGCCCUUCCCAGGGUAACAAUCCAUCGACAAACAUUGCCAUGAAAACAUCAUCUGAAUCUUGAUGUCACGUUUUCAUGAAAUAGUUUAAUUUAAUGUUUCACUGAGUAGAUGCUGACCAUCUUUGUCUCUGAUGUAAGGUGGAUUUACAUUGCCUGUCGAGAGUGGCAAGAGAUACAUGCUUCGAAUCGUCAAUGCUGCACUCAAUGAGGAGCUCUUCUUCAAGAUCGCCGGGCACCAGCUGACCAUCGUGGAGGUUGAUGCCACCUACGUCAAGCCUUUCAAGACCGACACGAUUGUGAUCGCGCCUGGCCAAACCACCAACGCCCUCAUCUCCGCUGACCAAAGCUCAGGCAAGUACUUGGUCGCAGCAUCCCCUUUUAUGGACUCCCCGAUCACCGUGGACAACAUGACCGCAACUGCCACAUUACACUACUCUGGCACGCUCGCCGCGACUUCCACGACCCUCACCAAGACUCCCCCACAAAACGCCACCGCUGUGGCCAACAAUUUCAUUAACUCUCUCCGAAGCCUCAACUCGAAGAUAUACCCUGCCAAAGUCCCGCUUACAGUUGAUCACAACCUCCUUUUCACGGUUGGACUAGGAAUCAACCCUUGCCCUUCGUGCAAAGCUGGCAACGGAAGCAGAGUCGUGGCAAGCAUGAACAACGUGACGUUUGUGAUGCCGACGACAGCCCUUCUCCAAGCACAUUUCUUCAACAUAAGCGGCGUCUUCACGAGCGAUUUCCCCGGUAACCCGCCGACCACUUUUAACUACACAGGGUCACCGCCAACAAAUUUGCGGACCACGAGUGGGACAAAGGUGUACCGGUUGCGUUAUAACUCAACAGUCCAGCUCGUGUUACAAGAUACUGGGAUCAUCGCCCCGGAGAACCACCCAAUUCAUCUUCACGGGUUCAAUUUCUUCGCGGUCGGGAAGGGACUGGGAAAUUAUAAUCCAAAAGUGGAUCAGAAGAACUUCAAUCUUGUCGAUCCUGUUGAGAGGAACACAAUAGGAGUACCGUCUGGGGGUUGGGUUGCAAUCAGAUUCAGAGCAGAUAAUCCCGGUACAAUUCUAGUUUAUCGACUAUUCUCAUUUACUCUCCAAUCUAUACUAUAAUUUUAACUACUCUGCAAGUUUUUCAGGACUCUGUUUUUGAAAAUUUUUGCAGGCGUUUGGUUCAUGCAUUGUCAUCUGGAAAUUCACACAACCUGGGGACUCAAGAUGGCCUUCUUGGUGGACAAUGGGAAAGGCCCAAACGAGUCGCUGCUACCGCCUCCAAGCGAUCUUCCGAAGUGUUGAUCCAUGAGGAGAAAUUCUAUAGUCAAGUAUGCAGUAGCUCGAGAUGAAGAGUGAUGAG
rnacentral:lncRNA from 1 species